GCUCGAGUGGUCGUCGCUUUUAUUGGGCCUAAAACGUCCGUAGCCUGUUUGGUAAAUCUGUGGGUAAAUCAACCAGCUUAACUGGUUGAAUUCUGCAGAGACUGCCAGACUAGGGACCGGGAGAGGUGUGGGGUACUCUAGGGGUAGGGGUAAAAUCCUGUCAUCCUUAGAGGACCACCAGUUGCGAAGGCGCCACACUAGAACGGAUCCGACGGUCAGGGACGAAGCCUAGGGGCACGAACCGGAUUAGAUACCCGGGUAGUCCUAGGUGUAAACGCUGUGAACUUGGUGUCGGGAGUCCGCAAUGGGCCCCCGGUGCCGGAGUGAAGAUGUUAAGUUCACUGCCUGGGGAGUACGGUCGCAAGGCUGAAACUUAAAGGAAUUGGCGGGGGAGCACUGCAACGGGAGGAGCGUGCGGUUUAAUUGGAUUCAACGCCGGAAAACUCACCAGGGCCGACUGUUAGAUGAAGACCAGCGUAAUGAGCUUGUCGGAUUUUCAGAGAGGUGGUGCAUGGCCGUCGUCAGUUCGUACUGUAAAGCGUUCUGUUAAGUCAGAUAACGAACGAGACCCUCAUCUCUAUUUGCUACCCGUCUCUCCGGAGGCGGCGCACUAUAGAGAGACCGCUGGUGUUAAACCAGAGGAAGGCGAGGGCAACGACAGGUCAGUAUGCCCCGAAUGUCCUGGGCUACACGCGCGCUACAAAGGACGGGACAAUGGGAAGCCAGGCCGAGAGGCCGAGCUAACCCGAAACCCGUUCAUAGUUCGGAUCGAGGGCUGUAACUCGCCCUCGUGAAGCUGGAUUCCGUAGUAAUCGUGUUUCAAUAUAGCACGGUGAAUAUGCCCCUGCUCCUUGCACACACCGCCCGUCAAACCAUCUUAGUUGGGGGUGGGUGAGGCUGCGCUUUAUGGCGUAUUCGAGCCUGCCUUCGACA
rnacentral:rRNA from 1 species